rnacentral:rRNA from 1 species
UUUUAUGGAGAGUUUGAUCCUGGCUCAGGAUGAACGCUGGCGGCGUGCCUAAUACAUGCAAGUCGAGCGAACGGACGAGAAGCUUGCUUCUCUGAUGUUAGCGGCGGACGGGUGAGUAACACGUGGAUAACCUACCUAUAAGACUGGGAUAACUUCGGGAAACCGGAGCUAAUACCGGAUA